rnacentral:rRNA from 1 species
GAUGAACGCUGACAGAAUGCUUAACACAUGCAAGUCGAUGGGGAAGUGGUGCUUGCACCAUGGUACCCAUGGGGCACGGGUGAGUAACGCGUAAGAAACUUACCUGCGGGACCGGGAUAACACCAGAAAACUGUUGACAUGACCGGAUAUGGUAAUUAAGUCUCAUUGCUUGGUGAUGAAAGGGUACGCCUGCGGAGAGGCUUGCGUCCGAUUAUCUAGUUGGUGGGGUAAGGGUCCACCAAGUCGAAGUUCAGUAGCCGGCGUGAGGGGAUGGACGGCCAUAAGGGGACUGAGACACGCCCGUGACACCUACGGGAGGGAGGAGAGGGGAAUAUUGGACAAGGGGGGCAACCCUGAUCCAAACAUUCUGUGUGGACGAAGAGCCUUCUCGGAUUGUAAAGUGUUUUCCGAAGCGAAAGAGGAAGUGACGGUACCUGCAAAAGAAGCAACGGCUAAAUACGUG